rnacentral:rRNA from 1 species
UGCGCAGGCGGAUUUGCCAGUCAGUGGUGAAAUCCCGAGGCUCAACUUCGGAACUGCCAUUGAUACUGCAAGUCUUGAAUUUGGUUGAAGUAGGCGGAAUGUAGCAUGUAGCGGUGAAAUGCAUAGAUAUGCUACAGAACACCGAUCGCGAAGGCAGCUUACUAAGCCGAUAUUGACGCUCAGGCACGAAAGCGUGGGUAGCGAACAGGAUUAGAUACCCUGGUAGUC